CACGUAGGGACCAAGCGUUGUCCGGAUUCAUUGGGCGUAAAGAGCUCGUAGGCGGUUCAGUAAGUCGGGUGUGAAACCUCCAGGCUCAACCUGGAGACGCCACCCGAUACUGCUGUGACUAGAGUCCAGUAGGGGAGCGUGGAAUUCCUGGUGUAGCGGUGAAAUGCGCAGAUAUCAGGAGGAACACCAGCGGCGAAGGCGGCGCUCUGGGCUGGAACUGACGCUGAGGAGCGAAAGCGUGGGGAGCAAACAGG
rnacentral:rRNA from 1 species